rnacentral:ncRNA from 1 species
ACGACACUCUGGAGAAUCCCGGGAUCACCGGGUGCCGAAGGUGCAAAGCCCGAACGGGCUAAUCUCUCAGGCAAAAGGACAGAGC